GAUGAACGCUGGCGGCGUGCCUAAUACAUGCAAGUCGAGCGAACAGACGAGGAGCUUGCUCCUCUGACGUUAGCGGCGGACGGGUGAGUAACACGUGGAUAACCUACCUAUAAGACUGGGAUAACUUCGGGAAACCGGAGCUAAUACCGGAUAAUAUAUUGAACCGCAUGGUUCAAUAGUGAAAGACGGUUUUGCUGUCACUUAUAGAUGGAUCCGCGCCGCAUUAGCUAGUUGGUAAGGUAAUGGCUUACCAAGGCAACGAUGCGUAGCCGACCUGAGAGGGUGAUCGGCCACACUGGAACUGAGACACGGUCCAGACUCCUACGGGAGGCAGCAGUAGGGAAUCUUCCGCAAUGGGCGAAAGCCUGACGGGGCAACGCCGCGUGAGUGAUGAAGGUCUUCGGAUCGUAAAACUCUGUUAUUAGGGAAGAACAAAUGUGUAAGUAACUAUGCACGUCUUGACGGUACCUAAUCAGAAAGCCACGGCUAACUACGUG
rnacentral:rRNA from 1 species